rnacentral:rRNA from 1 species
UACGAAGGGGGCGAGCGUUGUUCGGAUUUACUGGGCGUAAAGGGCGCGUAGGCGGCGAAUCAAGUCAGCUGUGAAAUCUCCGAGCUUAACUCGGAACGGUCAGCUGAUACUGUUUUGCUAGAGUGCAGAAAGGGCAACCGGAAUUCUUGGUGUAGCGGUGAAAUGCGCAGAUAUCAGGAGGAACACCGGUGGCGAAGGCGGGUCUCUGGGCCGAUACUGACGCUGAGGAGCGAAAGCGUGGGGAGCGAACAGG